rnacentral:rRNA from 1 species
UACGUAGGGACCGAGCGUUGUCCGGAAUCAUUGGGCGUAAAGAGCGUGUAGGCGGCUUGUUAAGUCUUGCGUGAAAUCUCGGGGCUCAACCCCGAGCGGUCGUGAGAAACUGGCAGGCUAGAGUGCGGGAGAGGAGAGUGGAAUUCCUGGUGUAGCGGUGAAAUGCGCAGAUAGUCAGGAAGAACACCCGUGGCGAAGGCGGCUCUCUGGAACGCAACUGACGCUGAGACGCGAAAGCGUGGGGAGCAAACAGG